rnacentral:rRNA from 1 species
UACGUAGGGUGCAAGCGUUGUCCGGAAUUAUUGGGCGUAAAGAGCUCGUAGGCGGUUUGUCGCGUCUGCUGUGAAAACCCGAGGCUCAACCUCGGGCCUGCAGUGGGUACGGGCAGACUAGAGUGCGGUAGGGGAGAUUGGAAUUCCUGGUGUAGCGGUGGAAUGCGCAGAUAUCAGGAGGAACACCGAUGGCGAAGGCAGAUCUCUGGGCCGUAACUGACGCUCAUGCACGAAAGCGUGGGGAGCAAACAGG